CAACGCCGCGUGGAGGAUGAAGUCUCUUGGGACGUAAACUCCUUUCGAUCGGGAAGAUUAUGACGGUACCGAUAGAAGAAGCCCCCGGGCUAAACUUACGUCGC
rnacentral:rRNA from 1 species